UUGUUUCGAACCAUCGGGUCACUGAUCGAACCGCAUGACUAAAUCAGAUAACUCAGUUGAAUAAAUUGGUGUCUAUAACAAAAUUGUAUAGUUAAUAAAUAAAUUAUCAAGUAGUUCAGUGGUUAAAAUUUCACUAUAAAUUUUUCUCACACUUUUUUUGUUUUUUUUUUGUUGCAUGGAACAUAAUUAAUUAAAUUUAGAGUAAUGGCAAUGCCAAUUUUAUUCCAUACAAAUAACCUCACUUUUUAGUAAAAAAAGCCCACUUUAGCAAGUAAUAAAUUAGCCCACUAACCCAAUUUUCCAACAAACAGUGCAUAAGAGAAUGUAGCAUGCAUAACCCUAGAUCAGAUAUGCAGCCGCCGCACAAUCAUCUUGUAUCUAUUCUUCCAAUUAUUUUAUUUUUUUUGCUUUUCCAAGUUCAUUCUCUCUGUUUUGCUGGCUUAAUCAAAAAAACAAAGUAUCAAGUGGUGUGUUAUAUGGUAAACCUUUAUUUUUUUUUCCUUGCAUCUUCUCUGCUUCUCGACUGAAUCUCAUUUUCUUCUCGUUCUUUUCUAAUCUGUCUGUUUCUUUCUUUUUUUAAAUAAAAAAAAAACAAACAAAUUGACGUGAAAAAAAGAUCUAAUUUUUUUCAAAGCAACAUCACAACUAUUUCAAUGGUAAAUCAUAUGAAUAUUUCCAAUCAAAG
rnacentral:lncRNA from 1 species